UACGAUUAAUGCAMGUGAAUGUUUUUGGUUAUUAUAGUUAUUAAUAUGUUUGGGUUAUAUUUUGAUUUUAUUAGGUGAAAUUUUAUUUUUAAAAUAAAUCCUUUUUAUGAGUCUAUGAAACUUGAUUAUUAAACUAGGAUUAGAUACCCUAUUAUUUCAAGUGUAAAUAUUUUUACCAGGGUAGUAUUAGUUAAGGUCUUUAAACCCAAAGAAUUUGGCGGUAUUUUAUUCCAUUCAGGGGAACCUGUCUCAUAAUUGAUAGUACACGAUUAACUUUACUUAAUUUAUUGGUUUGUAUAUCUCCGUUAUCAGAAAAUCUUUUUGGAGUAAUAAUUUUCUUGUUUUUUAUUAAAAUUUAUUUCAGGUCAAGGUGCAGCUUAUAAUUAAGUUGAUGAUGGGUUACAAUAAAUUUUUGUUUAUUAUGAAUUUAAUUUUGAAAUUUUUUAAUGAAGGGGGAUUUUAUAGUAAUUUAAUUUAUUUAUUUUAACUGAAAU
rnacentral:rRNA from 1 species